rnacentral:rRNA from 1 species
UGAGGAAUAUUGGUCAAUGGACGAAAGUCUGAACCAGCCAUGCCACGUGAAGGAAUAAGGCCCUAUGGGUCGUAAACUUCUUUUGUAUGUGAGCAAUAAGGUCCACGUGUGGACCGAUGAGAGUAGCAUACGAAUAAGCAUCGGCUAACUCCGUGCCAGCAGCCGCGGUAAUACGGAGGAUGCAAGCGUUAUCCGGAUUCAUUGGGUUUAAAGGGUGCGUAGGCGGCUUGGUAAGUCAGCGGUGAAAGUUCCGGGCUCAACCCGGUGACGCCGUUGAAACUUUCGGGCUGGAGUUCGUGCGAGGGAGGCGGAAUGCGUUGUGUAGCGGUGAAAUGCAUAGAUAUGACGCAGAACCCGA